rnacentral:lncRNA from 1 species
UCGAGAGCACAUGAAGGCAUGGAAUCAUAUGGUGUGUUUUAGGAAUCAUAAGCAAUCCUAUGCUGUUGGGAGUAUUAGUUGAAGAGCAAUGGCAGGGAGGGAGAUGCAAACAUUAAGACUGGCCAGGUCAUGAAAAUCCCUUUCAUCCAGUUCAACAGCUUGAGCUUGAAUUCUAGGUCUUAGCCUUUCCAUAGAAAUAUAUUCCUCUGAAAUAUGAAUAAAAGGGGCCAUCUCAGAGUUCCCACUGUGGUGCAGUGGGUUAAGGAUCCAGCAUUGCUAUAGCUGUGGUGGUUGCAGCUGAGGGUCGGAUUUGAUCCCUGGGUUGGGAACUUCCAUAUGCCAUGGGUGAGGCCAAAAAAAGAAAAAAUACUAAAAUUUAAAUUUAAAAAGUGGCGAGAGAUGGGAGUAAGAUGACAGAGUAGAAGGACUGGAGCUCACCCUUCUCUCAUAAAAACAAUAAAACUACAAUCAAUUGCUGAACAACCUUCAACCCAAUAGACUACAAACCAUCAAAAAAGAUAUCCUACUCCAGAAGACAAAAGAGGAGGCCACAUCAAGACAGUAGGAGGGGUGACUGUGCGAUAUAAGCAACCCCACACCUGCUGGAUGGGCAGGCCACAGAUUGGAAAGUAACUAUCACACAGACUCACCUUUGGGAAUGAGAGUUCUGAGCCCCACAUCAGGUCCCCACGCCUGGGGAUCUGCCACUGGGAGAAGGAGCCCCUGGAGCAUUUGGCAUUGAAGGCCAGUGGGGCUUGUGCACAGGAGCUCCAUGGGACUGGGGGAAACAGAGACCCCAUUCUCGAAAGGCACACACAGGCUUUUUCAUGUGCACUGGGUCCCAGGGCAAAGCAGAGACUCCAUAGGAAUUUGGAUCAGACCUGCCUGCAGUUGGAUGUAUUUUACCUUUUGGAAUGAUAAUAAUAUAUUAAAAUUAGAUAAUGGUGAUGACUGCAUUACUCUGGGAAUACACUAAAAAUGAAUGAACUAUAGGAGUUCCCAUCGUGGUGCAGUGGUUAACGAAUCCGACUAGGAACCAUGAGGCUGCGGGUUCAACCCCUGGCCUUGCUCAGUGGGUCAAGGAUCCGGCGAUGCCCUGAGCUGCAGUGUAGGUUGAAGACGUGGCUCGGAUCCCCAGUUGCUGUGGCUCUGGUGUAGGCCAGUGUCUACAGCUCUAAUUAGACCCUUAGCGUAGGAACUUCCAUAUGUGGCAGGAGCGCCUCUCGAAAAGGCAAAAAGACAAAACAAACAAACAAAAACUAAUGAACUAUGCACUUUUUUUUUUUAGGGCUGCACUCACAGUAUAUGGAGGUUCCCAGGCUAGGGGUAAAAUCCGAGCUUCAGCUGCUGGUCUACACCACAGACACAGCAACGAGGGAUACAAGCCACAUCUGCGGCCCACACCACAGCUCAUGGCAACACCAGAUCCUUAACCCACUGAGCGAGGCCUGGGAUCGAACCCGCAACCUCAUGGUUAGUAGUCAGAUUUGCUUCCACUGUGCCACAACAGGAACUCCGAACUAUACACUUUAUAAGAGGUGAAUUUUAUGGUAACUUAUAUCUCAAUAAAGCUGUUACACAAUAAAGUGUUAAAUUUUACUUUUUUGCAUACUUAUUUGAAUUAUUUGCAAUAAGCAUGUAUUACUACUGCAAUUUCAAAAAAAACCCAAAGUUUUAUUUUAUUUUAUUUUUUAGGUCAUUUAAUUUGUUUAAUUUUAAUUUUUUUCAGAAGUAUAUUUACUGAAUUUUUUCUUUUUUAAUUUUUUAUUAUAGUUGAUUUACAAUGUCCUGCCAAUUUCUGCUGCAAAGCAAAGCAAAACAACCCAGUUAUACAUAUAUUCUGUUUCUCACAAUAUUCUCCAUCAUGUUCCAUUACAACUGAUUGUAUAGUUCCCUGUGCUAUACAGCAGGACCUCAUCACUUAUCCACUCCAAAUGCAAUAGUUUGCAACUACUAAUCCCAAACGCCCAGCCGACCCCACUCCCUCCCCCCCAACCAAAAUUUUAAAAAGUACUUUUUUUUUUUCUUGUGACAACGUUAUGCACACAUAUUUCCUGUGACAUUAACACCUCUUCUUUUUCUUUCAUCAACCUGGUGUCCUGAACAACUGCUGUCUUUCUUUAGGUAGAUAUUCAUGAGAGGAAGCAGCACCAGCUCCAACCCUAAAUAAUGCCAAGGAACACGAUCUUGCAGUAGGUCGGAGCUGCCCCAGGGCAUUUGGUUUACACAAAAAGAACCUAGAGAAAAGGUGGCAUGAACUACAACUAGGCUGUCUAAUACCUUCUAUUUUUUAUCUUCUGGCCUCUUGAAGAGGAAAAUUGAAACAAAAUUAUAGCAUAAACCAUGAUUUUGUAGUAUGCUACUGCCACCUUUGAUUACUUUUAAAAUUUCUUCUCUCCUUCGUUUUCGUCCUUGCUCCAAUAAUUGAAAAAUGUAAAUAAUAAUAAUGAUGAUGAUAAAAAGAAUUCCUCCAAUCCUGUGCUUCUCAAAACACAGUUCCCAGACCAGCAGCACCAACACUACCCGUGGACUUGUUAGAAAUGUAAAUUACUGCUGGCCGAACAUCCACACAAGGUGUGUGACACUCUGGGCGGGAGCCUGAGAGCGUGCCUUAACGAGCCCACUAGGCGAUUCUGAAGCACAGCCCAUGUUUUAGCACUUUUAAAUCCUGCUGCUUUUUCUUAACCAGCAGCUUUUCAGUGUAAUCUACAGUAGUAGGCGCUACGGAUUUGCUGAGUCACUUUCCCUUCCCUUAUCCUAACCUUCCAUUCACCACUCUGCUUUCUCUCCCCAGCCUACUUCUCUCAACAUUUUCUCUCCCAUCUUGGUGUCUGAUUGCUCCUUUUCAAAGAGCAACUCGGGUUUGCUGUCUUUUUCAAAGUUUCUGGCGAUUGCCAACAACACCCUACUUAAGAGAUUCCCCACAGCACUUCCUGGGAAGCGAGAUAAGAGGAUAUCAUGAAAAGAGGUUAUUUUUGCUUGAACACUUUAUGGCACUUAUUUUUAUGUGAAAAUAAGCGGGCCACGUUUAUUCACAAACUUGAAUGAGCAAAGAGGAGUUUAAUUUUUUAAAAUGCAUAUCCCAAGAUCUUAGAUUUUGAGAUGUAGAUGCGGUAUCUGGGGGUGGAGCCCAGUGGGCUCCAUUCUUACAAGUGCCAGUGGUGAUUUUGAAGGUGCCACCUUGCUCCCUUUGACAAACACCACACAAAGCAGGAGAUUUAGGGUGGGAUGGGGCUUCCAAACCUCUCCCCUUUGCAAAUAGACACUCAACUGGAAAAUCAGUACAAUUAAAAAAAAAAAGUAACACAGGUCCUACAUCUUUCUGGAACAUUUUUCAUGUCUUUGAUUUAGUGAUUUAGUGCUUAGGAAACAUUUCUAUCAAGUCCUUAGACUCUCAGGAUUAAAAAAUGUUAUUAACACCUGAAGAGUAACCCAUUAAUGUGGGGGAGUUGUUCUUUUAGGUGUGAAAGUUACUCUUGAAUAAUAUAUAUGCUGACUAGUUGUAGAAAAAAUUCUGACCUAGAAAUUAUCAUGCUAAGUGAAGUCAGCCAUACAAUGAGACGCCAACAUUAAAUGUUUUCACUGACAUGUGGAACUUCUUUGCAGAACAGAUACUGACUCACAGACUUGGAAAAACUCAUGGUCUCCAAGGGAGACAGUUUGGGGGGUGGGGGGAUGCGCUGGGGUUGUGGGAUGGAAAUCCUAUAAAAUUGGAUUGUGAUGAUCAUUGUACAACUAUAAAUGCAAUACAUUCAUUGAGUAAUUUAAAAAAGAUUUAAAAUGCAAUAAAUACAUAUUUAUCAAUAAAAAAG